rnacentral:rRNA from 1 species
GAUGAACGCUGGCGGCGUGCCUAAUACAUGCAAGUCGAGCGAACAGACGAGGAGCUUGCUCCUUUGACGUUAGCGGCGGACGGGUGAGUAACACGUGGGUAACCUACCUAUAAGACUGGGAUAACUUCGGGAAACCGGAGCUAAUACCGGAUAAUAUUUCGAACCGCAUGGUUCGAUAGUGAAAGAUGGCUUUGCUAUCACUUAUAGAUGGACCUGCGCCGUAUUAGCUAGUUGGUAAGGUAACGGCUUACCAAGGCAACGAUACGUAGCCGACCUGAGAGGGUGAUCGGCCACACUGGAACUGAGACACGGUCCAGACUCCUACGGGAGGCAGCAGUAGGGAAUCUUCCGCAAUGGGCGCAAGCCUGACCGAGCAACGCCGCGUGAGUGAUGAAGGUCUUCGGAUCGUAAAACUCUGUUAUUAGGGAAGAAAAACAGUGUAAGUAACUGUGCACGUCUUGACGGUACCUAAUCAGAAAGCCACGGCUAACUACGUG